CCUACGGGCGGCAGCAGUAGGGAAUAUUGCUCAAUGGGGGAAACCCUGAAGCAGCAACGCCGCGUGGAGGAUGAAGGUUUUCGGAUUGUAAACUCCUUUUGUUAGAGAAGAUAAUGACGGUAUCUAACGAAUAAGCACCGGCUAACUCCGUGCCAGCAGCCGCGGUAAUGCGGAGGGUGGAAGCGUUACUCGGAAUCAUUGGGCGUAAAGGGCGAGUAGGCGGGAUAGCAAGUCAGAUGUGAAAUCCUAUGGCUUAACCAUAGUACUGCAUUUGAAACUGUUAUUCUAGAGUAUGGGAGAGGUAGGUGGAAUGCUUGGUGUAGGGGUAAAAUCCGUAGAGAUCAAGAGGAAUACUGAUUGCGAAGGCGACCUGCUAGAACAUAACUGACGCUGAUGCGCGAAAGCGUGGGGAGCAAACAGGAUUAGACACCCUGGUAGUC
rnacentral:rRNA from 1 species